UACAGAGGGUGCGAGCGUUAAUCGGAUUUACUGGGCGUAAAGCGUGCGCAGGCGGUUUUGUAAGCCAGAUGUGAAAUCCCCGGGCUUAACCUGGGAAUGGCAUUUGGGACUGCAAGGCUUGAGUGCGGCAGAGGAGACUGGAAUUCCUGGUGUAGCAGUGAAAUGCGUAGAUAUCAAGAGGAACACCAGUGGCGAAGGCGAGUCCCUGGACAACUUCUGACGCUGAGGCACGAAAGCUAGGGGAGCAAACAGG
rnacentral:rRNA from 1 species